AUUGCGAAUCAGAUCAGCCAUACUAUAGACUGUAUAAGAUACGCUUAGUCUUAAAAUAUAACCUCAUUAUGUCUAGAUUUGUCCUGAUUUUCUUGGUUGUGUGCGUCGUUGUAUGUUUAACUGAAUGCCAGCAAGGUGGUGGUAACGACGGGGCAAAAUUGACAGACUUGACCCCUACCGUGGGUGGCUUUCUUGCUUUUAUCCAAAAAGCUCUGGAACCUUUUUUUAACGCACUCGCACCAAUUCUGCAGUUCAUUUUACCCGGUCUUCAGUGAAAUCUCCAGGAUUGCCAAA